rnacentral:rRNA from 1 species
GCCAGCAGCCGCGGUAAUACGUAGGGUACAAGCGUUGUCCGGAAUUAUUGGGCGUAAAGAGCUCGUAGGUGGUUUGUCGCGUCUGCUGUGGAAUCGUGCCGCUUAACGGUGCGCGUGCAGUGGGUACGGGCAGACUGGAGUGCAGUAGGGGAGUCUGGAAUUCCUGGUGUAGCGGUGAAAUGCGCAGAUAUCAGGAGGAACACCGGUGGCGAAGGCGGGACUCUGGGCUGUUACUGACGCUGAGGAGCGAAAGCAUGGGGAGCGA